CUUUAUAUCCGUAGCCUUUCUAAAGAGAUUAUGUCAAUUGAAUAUAUGAGUAGGUAUAACCCACACCAAAAGAUAAACCCCAGCGUUUAUCUGGAAAGGACACAAUGAGAAAAUGACACGAGCUAUGGGCAGAACCUGAUGAGGUCCCUGCAACAAGGUACUAAUAGAAAUGUUCUCAUUAGCAGACCCAAAAUAAAGAAACCAACUGUGGAAGUCAAGGAUUAAUGUGAAUAAGUGAAAACAGAGCAAUCUGCGUUUUCAUAUGAUGCAGUUCCCCUCAAUUUCUAGAAACCCAAGGACACAGGGUGCCCAAAGAAAAACAUCUGUAUUUACGCUGGGCUUAACAGAAGGAAGAUCCCAUUUUGUGCACAGUUAAGGGACCCACAGCUGAGACCUACCUCGCCUGUGGCCAGAGCGACAAAAUUUUCCACAGUCUUGGGCACAACCUUUCCAAAGAGGCCAAUCACGAUUCUGCCAACAUCUUUGUCUCCAAUCCUCACAUCAAAGAAGACCUGCGUGUGGUUGAACCGGCAGAGCACAGGUACAAGAUCACCGUGUUACGAGGAUUCCGGGCUGGAAUGCUUGAAAAGGCUACCGAGUCGAAGGGCAUUCUAUUAGCAAGUUUAGAUUAUAUGAACCAAUUUACGGUUUGAAUGGGUAAAAAAAGACAUUCAAGAGAUGGCUUUAAAAAAAUGUAAGAAGGGUUGUCAGAGGAAAAAGAUGUCUUACAGUUUAGAAAAAUCAUAAAGUAAAGACUGUGAAGCGUUAGUCCAAGACAAGAGCUUCUGCCAAUACAUCAGCACGUCUGUCACGGGGUGAUGUGAUAUUCAGUGUUCCGUGUGGCAUUUGAGAGUUUUUACGUGGCCACAGCAGCCAAAACCGUAUUAUUAUUUAUACGGCACAACUUUAUAGAAUGUAUAAGAG